CCUACGGGUGGCAGCAGUGGGGGAUAUUGCUCAAUGGAGGAAACUCUGAUGCAGCGACGCCGCGUGAGGGAAGAAGGUCUUCGGAUUGUAAACCCCUGUCUUUGGGGAAGAUAAUGACGGUACCCAAAGAGGCAGCUCCGGCUAACUCCGUGCCAGCAGCCGCGGUAAUACGUAGGGAGCGAGCGUUUUCCGGAAUUACUGGGUGUAAAGGGAGCGUAGGCGGGUGAGAAAGUUGAAUGUUAAAUCUACGGGCUUAACUUGUAACUGCGUUCAAAACUUCUUGUCUUGAGUUAUGUAGAGGCAGGUGGAAUUCUUGGUGUAGCGGUGAAAUGCGUAGAGAUUAGGAGGAACACUAGUGGCGAAGGCGGCCUGCUGGGCUUUAACUGACGCUGAGGCUCGAAAGCGUGGGGAGCAAACAGGAUUAGAUACCCGAGUAGUC
rnacentral:rRNA from 1 species